AAGAAGGCCUUCGGGUUGUAAAGCACUUUCAGUAGGGAGGAAGGUAGUGUAGUUAACACCUGCACUUACUUUGACGUUACCUACAGAAGAAGCACCGGCUAAACUCCGUGCCAGCAGCCGCGGUAAUACGGAGGGUGCGAGCGUUAAAUCGGGAAUUACUGGGCGUAAAGCGCAUGCAGGCGGCCUGUUAAGUCAGAUCGUGAAAGCCCGGGGCUUAACCUCGGAAUUGCAUUUGAAACUGGCAGGCUAGAGUCUUGUAGAGGGGGUAGAAUUUCAGGUGUAGCGGUGAAAUGCGUAGAGAUCUGAAGGAAUACCAGUGGCGAAGGCGGCCCCCUGGACAAAGACUGACGCUCAGAUGCGAAAGCGUGGGGAGCCAAACAGGAUUAGAUACCCUGGUAG
rnacentral:rRNA from 1 species